AAGGGAGACCUAAUUCAGGUAUAAGACGAAAAAAAAGUAGUCGCUACCAAGAAUCAAUCCCAAAAGGUCGGAGCGAGGCGAAAUUGGCUUUCAAACUAGGUUCUGGGUUCAAACAAGACCUGAAUCAGGAACAAGGGCUAUUAGCUCAGGUGGUUAGAGCGCACCCCUGAUAAGGGUGAGGUCCCUGGUUCGAGUCCAGGAUGGCCCACCUGCACAGGUGGCAAAAACAAGAGAAGCGAGGAAUCAGCACCUUAUCUUACUGACAUAGUAAGAGAGAAUGCUGGCUCUGAGUAAAGAGUCCAGAGGAACCUUGAAAACUGCAUAGAGCUAGGUGAAAAAGCCAAAAAAGAAGACCGCAA
rnacentral:tRNA from 2 species